rnacentral:rRNA from 1 species
AGUGAACGCUGGCGGUAGGCCUAACACAUGCAAGUCGAACGGCAGCACAGGAGAGCUUGCUCUCUGGGUGGCGAGUGGCGGACGGGUGAGGAAUACAUCGGAAUCUGCCCAGUCGUGGGGGAUAACGUAGGGAAACUUACGCUAAUACCGCAUACGACCUUCGGGUGAAAGAGGGGGAUCGCAAGACCUCUCGCGAUUGGAUGAGCCGAUGUCGGAUUAGCUAGUUGGCGGGGUACUGGCCCACCAAGGCGACGAUCCGUAGCUGGUCUGAGAGGAUGAUCAGCCACACUGGAACGGAGACACGGGCCAGCCCCCGACGGGAGGCAGCGGGGGAGAAUAGUGGAACGUGGGGGGAAGCCUGAUCCCGCCAUACGGCGGGGGUGAAAAAGGCCUGCGGGUUGGAAAGCCCUUUUUUUGGGAAAAAAAUCUUUCGAGCUAAAACCCGUGGGGGAGGGCGGGACCCAAAGAAAAAGCCGCGGCGAACUGCGG